UCCAGAACAAGGGGUUCACGUGUGCAAAAUUGACAAGGUGGGAAAAGCCCUAUCAGGUGAAGGGAAAUGCAGGCGGUCCUGCAGGUGUGAACCGUGGCCUCUUUCUGCGGAGUGGAGGAGGAAGGAUGGCCAGAGGCCAGGGAGCAGAGCCCAGGGUGCGAAGGUUCGAAUCCCGAUUCCUCCACUUACUAAUGGUGAGCUUGGCCACCUGACCACCUCCUGGAGCCUCAGUGUCCCCGCCUGUAAAACGAGAGCCUUCCUGGCUUCUGCCAUUGGUUCCUGCGCAGUUCACAUCACCUACUGUCGGGAACGCGUCAGGCAUCAGGGUAACUUACCAGGUGCCGAGAUGAGUUCUAAGAGCGUUAACUGUGAUCGCUACAAUGGUGUUCCCAUGAGAGCCAGCGACUGGGUCCCAGACACGGUAUCAGGCUCUGUCCACGGUGGCGACUCUGGGGCAGGAGCCAUGGUUAUAAACUCCUUCUGGCAACGGGAGAGAGCGAAAUCCGGGAAAAACCAUCCGCCUCAUGAGACGGAAUCUGAUCCAAGUUCUUAACCCCUGCAAUGGGCCCGAGCCUCCGAGACGGACCGUGAGAAGCGAAGACAAAUAGAAUUCUGACCACAACGCGCUUUCACUCAAACGUUGACAUUCCCAGAAGGAAGAACCCCCAGCCGGAGACGACUCCUGUUGACGUAAGCGAGCAGAUCUUCCCAAUGCACAAGGAUACCUAAGCUGGGAGACUUUCUGCCUGUGAGCCGGUCUAUGUCCAAGUUUAACACCCCACCGGGCGAUGCUCUGCACUCCCAGGGGCACGUCAGAGACGAAUUUCCUCCGGUGAGAACCAAGUGGACCACGGCCUCCAAACGGCUCAGGGCCUGGAGUGGCGUCGGAUCCAUGCCCGCAUGCUCCACCCCUCCUUCCUGGUGAACGAAGCAUCGAUUGGCUGAGUGAAUUGCAACAGCAUCUGCUUCAAAAUCAGCCCAGGACCUGAUCCAGCCCCUUGCCUUUGGGCAAUGCUGUUUACUGCCCGGAGAAGCUGCUCCAUGUCGGAAGACUUUUGUUUCAGCCUGGGCUGAGUGUUCGGCCAAAUUUCUAACCACUUUCCCUUUCAUCGACCCACCCAUUAACCAUGCUGUCGCUCGCCUCCUCUGACCCGCUGGAGCCCGCGCACGCCUUGCGGUCUCCAGUGCGUCCCACUGGGUUUUCCCGCUUCCCUGCCCCUUGGUACUGCUAGUCCUGGGCUCGGCAAACGUUAUCUUUAAAGGGCCAGAGAGCAAACAGGCUUUGUGCACUGUCAGCCUCUGUGCAGUUCUGCCAACGUGGACGAAAACCUGGAGAUGCUCAACACGGAACCGGUAACUCCUGAACCGAUGCUGUCACCUGAGACCGGAUUCCCACAUAAUGACUCGAUCAGCCUUUACCGAGCAGUUAUUACGAGCAGAUUCUGCUUUCCGCAGAGAUUUCGACUGGCAGGACUGGCAGGAUGUUAGAGAUCACCUAGAGACCUCCUAGAAUGGAGACUGAAGACUGGCCGUGUGUUUCCCAGAUCUGAUCCACGGAGGAUUUUGUUUUUCGCUCAUCAGCUGUGUGACUCUGGGCAAGUUCCUGAGCAUCUCUGUGCUUCCGCUUUUUCACUGGGGAAGUGGAGCUGGAACUCACGUCACCGGAGUGUUAUGAGACCCACAUGAGUGUGUGCAGUGUUUAAGAUGGGGCCUGGAAUGACCUGA